GAGGGGAUAGCUCAGUGGUAGAGUGCAUGCUUAGCAUGCAUGAGGUCCUGGGUUCAAUCCCCAGUACCACCA
rnacentral:tRNA from 1 species